GAUGAACGCUGGCGGCGUGCCUAAUACAUGCAAGUCGAGCGAACAGAUGAGGAGCUUGCUCCUCUGACGUUAGCGGCGGACGGGUGAGUAACACGUGGAUAACCUACCUAUAAGACUGGUAUAACUUCGGGAAACCGGAGCUAAUACCGGAUAAUAUAUUGAACCGCAUGGUUCAAUAGUGAAAGACGGUUUUGCUGUCACUUAUAGAUGGAUCCGCGCCGCAUUAGCUAGUUGGUAAGGUAACGGCUUACCAAGGCGACGAUGCGUAGCCGACCUGAGAGGGUGAUCGGCCACACUGGAACUGAGACACGGUCCAGACUCCUACGGGAGGCAGCAGUAGGGAAUCUUCCGCAAUGGGCGAAAGCCUGACGGAGCAACGCCGCGUGAGUGAUGAAGGUCUUCGGAUCGUAAAACUCUGUUAUUAGGGAAGAACAAAUUUGUAAGUAACUAUGCACGUCUUGACGGUACCUAAUCAGAAAGCCACGGCUAACUACGUG
rnacentral:rRNA from 1 species